CAGCUUAACACUGCCUCUCAAUCUUAAUCCCGUCGGAUCAAGUAGCAUGGCUCAGAACCAUUCCACGCCUCCCGUGAUGCCUACCACCACCAGCUCUGAACUUGUGCAGGCCCAGGCCGAGCUGUGGUGCCACACCUUCGCCUACCUCAGAUCCAUGGCCCUGCAAAGUGUGAUCAAGAUCGGGAUCCCCACCGCCAUCCACCGCUGCGGCGGCGCCGCCUCCUUGUCCGAUCUACAACUGGCUCUCCCGGCCGUCCCUCCGAGCAAGUGGCCACGCUUGCUACGCCUCAUGAAACUGCUGGUCGUCUCAGGAAUAUUCAGAGAGGACGAGGCCGGCGUGUACUGCCUCACCCCGGUGUCGCGCCUCCUUGUGGAAGAAGAAGAAGGUGGCGAAGGCGGCGGCGAAGGCGGCCAUGCCUGUCACAGUUCACGGUCUUGGCCACUUCACCCUUCCACUUCCAGGCGUCUCAACGCCUGCCCGAGUGGCUCAAGGUUGAGGACGAUGAUGCCGCGGCAGCAGAGACACCGUUCGUGAUGGCGCAUGGGGCGAGGUUUUUCGCCUACACGGCCCGUGACUUGGAGUUCGGCGCGCUGUUCAACGAGUCGAUGGGCGCCGACAGCCGCUUCGUGGCGGAGAUCUUCGUGCGCGAGUGCGGCGAGGUGCUCGCCGGGGUUGCAACCCUGGUCGACGUCGGAGGUGGGGAUGGCACCACCGCCAAGGCCAUCGCGAAGGCCUUCCCACACGUGAGGUGCAAGGUUGCUGGAGCUUCCCCAAGCGGCGGCCAACAUGCCGGCUGAUGGCAUGGUCGAGUUUGUUGUAGGCGACAUGAUGGAGUUUAUCCCUCCGGCCGAUGUUGUGCUACUCAAGUUUGUGCUGCAUAAUUGGAGCGACCAAGAUUGUGUUAGAAUCCUAAAGCGGUCGAAGGAAGCUGUUUCUACUCGAGAACCAAAGGGAAAGGUGAUGAUCAUAGAUGCAGUGGCUGGGUCGGCGCCCAGUAAAGAAGCGUCUGAAGCUCAACUUCUAAUGGAUGUAUGCAUGAUGCUGCUGACGACGGGUGAAGAGCGAGACGAGGAGAGGUGGCACAGGUUGUUCCUCAAUGCGGGGUUUAGUCGAUACAACAUUAACCCUAUCUUUGGAUCUCGUUCACUCAUUGAGGUCUUUCCAUAGAAAAUAUAUAUAAGCUGGUAGUGCUGAAUGUAUGUGGUCUAUGAUACGUCUUGUAUUUAUUAUCUUUGGUCUGGAGUAUAUUGAGCAAAAGGUGUAUAUACAUUACGGUUUGCAAGUUCUCUGCUCGCUCACUACA